CUAUAACGAUAUAGUGAAAUGUAAUUUUUAAAAAUCAGAUGCCUAAUAAAUUUUAUAUAUAAGAGGAUGGAAGUGAAAUGCAAAUGAACUCCAUAGCCCCAGUUGGGGUUCACAGCCCAACAUAAGCAUGGGUAAAGUUGGGGUUAAUUUGACUCCUGGGGAGAAAGCCUAUCUGCACACUUAACAUACAUCCAAGAAGUUAGUGAUAGAGUAUU
rnacentral:lncRNA from 1 species